rnacentral:rRNA from 1 species
GGGUGAGGAGAGUAUCCUAAGGCCAGCGAGAGAACUGUUGUUAAGGAACUCGGCAAAAUGACCCCGUAACUUAGGGAUAAGGGGUGCCACCAUCAGGUGGCCGCAGAGAAUAGGCCCAAGCGACUGUUUACCAAAAACAUAGGUUUCUGCUAAGUCGCAAGACGAUGUAUAGGAGCUGACGCCUGCCCGGUGCUGGAAGGUUAAGGGGAUCUGUUAGAGCAAUCGAAGCAGUGAACUUAAGCCCCAGUAAACGGCGGCCGUAACUAUAACGGUCCUAAGGUAGCGAAAUUCCUUGUCGGGUAAGUUCCGACCCGCACGAAAGGCGUAACGAUUUGGGCACUGUCUCAACAACAGACUCGGUGAAAUUGUAAUUCCGGUGAAGAUGCCGGAUACCUGCGACAGGACGGAAAGACCCCAUGGAGCUUUACUGUAGCUUGACAUUGGGUCUUGGUACUACAUGUACAGGAUAGGUGGGAGGCUUUGAAACCAGGACGCCAGUUUUGGCGGAGCCAUCCUUGGGAUACCACCCUUGUAGUACUGGGACUCUAACCAUAG